AGCAGGAGAUUGCAUCUCAGUUGGUUCCACUGCUAGGACGUGUAGAUGACCGCUCCACUGGCACCACCAUCUCUUCCACUUCUGGCGAUGGUUGCUUCAUCGAUUCUGAACCCCUGAAGUGGGCUGACCGCAUGAUCUCAACACCACCAUCUUCUCAAGCAUCAGUUCCUUCAAGCAACCAACCUAUCGACGUGCUUAUGUCAGCAGAAAGUGGAAACCUUAGUGAGGCCGAGAUCUUGGAGUGGACUGAUAGCUUGUUAGCGGCUGAUGAUGGCAUGGUGGCCCAGCCAACUCCUUUUGCAACCGGAUCUUCUUUUGCAACCGAAGAUGGUAGCAGUGAUGAAGAUGUUGCGACGGUGACCGCUACCUGCACCGGGC
rnacentral:lncRNA from 1 species